CUCUGCGCAAGGGAUCUUUUGGUUCGCUAGACGAAGAAGGGCGCAGCGGAAUGCGAAAUGUGCAGGAGUCGCAGCGAAGACAGCACAUGCCUGAAAUCACGAGAGUGAGACUACCCCUUUGAAUUAAGCAUAUGAGUAAAGGGAGGAAAAAAAACUAACAAGGAUUCCUGUAGUAGCGGCGAGCGAAGAAGGAACAGCCCC
rnacentral:rRNA from 1 species